AGCAGAGUGGCGCAGCGGAAGCGUGCUGGGCCCAUAACCCAGAGGUUGAUUUAUCGAAACCAUUCUCUGCUA
rfam:Astyanax mexicanus chromosome 23, whole genome shotgun sequence.